rnacentral:misc_RNA from 1 species
UCAAACUUGGUCAUUUAGAGGAAGUAAAAGUCGUAACAAGGUCUCCGUUGGUGAACCAGCGGAGGGAUCAUUACAGAGUUGCAAAACUCCCAAACCAUUGUGAAUUCUAUCCUUUAGAAGUUGCUUCGGCGGGCGGUCCCGGGGAGGGACCGCGGCCCGCGAGGGCGCCCGCCGGAGCCACGCAAACCUCUUGUUAUCAAAGCCUCUCUGAGCACCGAUACAAAUGUGUCAAAACUUUCAACAACGGAUCUCUUGGUUCUGGCAUCGAUGAAGAACGCAGC